UACAUUUUCAAUAAAAUUGUCAAUAUGUACAGCACAGUCUCAGAUAUUAUAAAUUUAAAAAGAAUGAUGAAAUUAUAUCUAACAUAUCUUGCAUUUCUUUUAAUACCAUCAAAUUUGUCAACUUUUUUUCCUACUUAGAAACAAAAACUGUCUUCAAAUUCUAAGCAAGUGCAUACAUCAUUUUCUUUUGUAAAAGUUUUACUACUAUCAUCCCCAUCAAUCACUUAGAAACUUGUUGAUUCUACUCACUAACCAUUUCUCUAAUUUGUCUGCUUCUAUUCAUUCUCAGUAUCAAUACCUUAUCCAUAAUCAUCAACUCCAUGUAAACCGUAUAAACUCUCAGGCUUUAGUCUUUCUCCCCAUCCCUGACCCCCAAUCUGCAUUCCACACUGCAGACAGAGUACUUUCUAUAGUGAAAAUUUAAUUAUAUAUUUCUACUGAUUUAAAAACACUCAAGAGUUUCUCAUCUUUCUCAGGAUAAAAUGCAGACCCUUAUGGUAUGCAUGACCAGGCCUUUGUUGAUCUCCCUAGCCUCUUUUCCGACCUCAUUUUUAGUUUGGAUGUAUUGAACUGCUUUCAUUUGCAAAAAUAUACCAUGUAAUUGAUUAUAUUGAUCAAGCUAACCUUGGUGUCUUUCACUUGAAUAACAUUUUUCCCCAUUUCAGCUUUAUCUGAUUCCUCAAAUUUGGAUUAUGUGUCUAUUCUGUAUGUUCCUAUAUCAUUAUAAACUCAUAUACUUUGUCUCUUGUACCACUUCUCACUCCGAAGUAUAACUGUCUGUAGGAUUUGCUUGAUGAAAUCAGGAAAUCUUUCAUGUUCAUCAGUUUAUUUCCAGCAUAUAGCACAAUUACUGGCACAUAGUAGGCAUUAUUUAAUGAAUGAGUGGUUAUAAUCGCAUAGGGUUUUUUUAGUGACACCUACUUAAUUUUAAAUGUAUUUUAAGAAUUAAUAAAUGAAUUUUUAAAGUUGUGGUUUUUUUUUUUUAGAAUCAGUAAAUGCAAAUAAUUAGACCCACCUUGUUUAUCAGGUUGAAACAUGAAUCUUUUUUUUUUUAAUUCCACUUUUUUCUUUUUCUAUACUGCAAAGUAGAGGAAUAGUCAAAAGAAAAAUCACCUUUCUACUUCCAACUGGUUAUAUUAUUGAGUAAACUGCACAUCACCUGCAGAUAUAGUUAUAAUCUAUUAUUUUUUAAAAAUGUCUUCUAAUCUUUUUCUGUCAUCUUAUUUACCUAGAUAAUACAAUACCCUUUACAAUGGAUUUUUUCAAAGAAGGACAUUGUUAAGAACCAAUAUACCCUUAUUGGUAAUAUUUGUCUACCUACUAAUAUAAUUGGUUAUAUUUUUUCUAUUACUAGCAAAUGGUCUUUGGAAAUAUAGAUAAAUUAGAGUGCUCAAUUAGUUUUGCCAUUAGUAUUCAUUAUUUUAUAUACUAUUACAUAUCCUUUUAAUUUUCCCUUUCUCAACUAAAUAUAUCCUUUAAUCUUUUACGAUAGAGUGCCUCAUUUUCCUUGUAAGUAUAAUAGUUUCUUAUUGCUUUCUGGUUCUUUAUUUUUUUUUUCAUAUAGCCUCCUAAAGAUGAUUAGACUAAGAUGACUACUAUAGCACUAUAGUUAAGAUAAAAAGAUAUUAUUGAUUCAUAAAUUGAAGUAUUAUAAUAUGUGUGUCCUAUUUCUGGCCUCUUUUAAUAUGGUUUAAUACCUCAUUCCAUUUUUAUUGCCUCUAGGUAGUGAACAAAUGUCUUCAUUGAAUUGCACAAAGAGAUACAUAAAUCUUAUUCCUGAGAAAAUUACAUUUAGUUCAGAGCUCAUCAAUGUGUAUGAGUAAUUUGAAUUUAUUUUUUAACUGUGCUUUGCCUUUACAUAUUUUAAGUGGAUUUUAUCAACCUUUGUGUUUCUUAAUUACCUUAUAUUGUUAGGUCAUUUGGAAUUCAACCAAUUGCCUUAAUCUCAAGAAAAUUAAAAUAAAUUUUUCUGUAAAUUUUAAAACUUCACCUUCUUUUCCAGAUCAUUAACAAAAGUAUUGAACAGAGACACAGCUCUGGAUCCAAGACUAACCCUGCUAAUUAACCUUUUUGCUUCCUGAGGGUUUAGAACUUAUUUCCACUCAAUUUCUACCACUUAACUUGUUUUUAAUGGCUUAGGUCCAUCCCCAGGGGGGUAGAGGGCUCUGAGCAAAUCAUUUUGCAAUCUCAUUGCUUAACAUUUUUAUUCUUAUGAUAUCCUGUGAAAGUUAACAUCAAGGACAUCCUUAAAGUGUAAAGCUCUGGGAGCUAAGAAGAAGGCUAUUGUUAAUUUGUAGCAAAUCCAUUCCCAAAUCCUCUUCCAGCUCUUUUUAUACCUCUCAGAUUUUAGAAUUCAUAGAGAAUCACCAGUGGGAGGGGGGGUAUUAUUAAAAAUGUGGAUUCCUGGGAUCCCUGGGUGGCGCAGAGGUUUAGCGCCUGCCUUUGGCCCAGGGCGCGAUCCUGGAGACCCGGGAUCGAAUCCCACGUCGGGCUCCCGGUGCAUGGAGCCUGCUUCUCCCUCUGCCUGUGUCUCUGCCUCUCUCUCUCUCUCUCUCUCUCUCUCUCUGUGACUA
rnacentral:lncRNA from 1 species